UACGUAGGGUGCAAGCGUUGUCCGGAAUUAUUGGGCGUAAAGAGCUCGUAGGCGGUUUGUCGCGUCUGCCGUGAAAGUCCGGGGCUCAACUCCGGAUCUGCGGUGGGUACGGGCAGACUAGAGUGAUGUAGGGGAGACUGGAAUUCCUGGUGUAGCGGUGAAAUGCGCAGAGUAUCAGGAGGAACACCGAUGGCGAAGGCAGGUCUCUGGGCAUUAACUGACGCUGAGGAGCGAAAGCAUGGGGAGCGAACAGG
rnacentral:rRNA from 1 species